CACGUAGGGGGCGAGCGUUGUCCGGAAUUAUUGGGCGUAAAGAGCUCGUAGGCGGUUCGUCGCGUCGGCUGUGAAAACCUGAGGCUCAACCUCAGGCCUGCAGUCGAUACGGGCGGACUUGAGUACUGCAGGGGAGACUGGAAUUCCUGGUGUAGCGGUGAAAUGCGCAGAUAUCAGGAGGAACACCGGUGGCGAAGGCGGGUCUCUGGGCAGUAACUGACGCUGAGGAGCGAAAGCGUGGGGAGCGAACAGG
rnacentral:rRNA from 1 species